UUGAACGCUGGCGGUAUGCUUAACACAUGCAAGUCGAACGGAAACGAUACUAGCUUGCUAGUAGGCGUCGAGUGGCGGACGGGUGAGUAACGCGUAGGAAUCUGCCUGAUAGUGGGGGAUAGCCCGAAGAAAUUCGGAUUAAUACCGCAUAAUCUAUUCGUAGUAAAGUGGGGGACUUUCGAGCCUCACGCUAUCAGAUGAGCCUGCGUAAGAUUAGCUUGUUGGUAGGGUAAAAGCCUACCAAGGCGACGAUCUUUAGCUGGUCUGAGAGGAUGAUCAGCCACAUCGGGACUGAGACACGGCCCGAACUCCUACGGGAGGCAGCAGUGGGGAAUAUUGGACAAUGGGGGCAACCCUGAUCCAGCAAUACCGCGUGUGUGAAGAAGGCCUGAGGGUUGUAAAGCACUUUCAAUUGUGAAGAAAAGUUAACGGUUAAUAACCGUUAGCCUUGACGUUAACUUUAGAAGAAGCACCGGCUAACUCCGUGCCAGCAGCCGCGGUAAUACGGAGGGUGCAAGCGUUAAUCGGAAUUACUGGGCGUAAAGCGUGCGUAGGCGGUUUAUUAAGUCAGAUGUGAAAGCCCCGGGCUUAACCUGGGAACUGCAUUUGAAACUGGUCAACUAGAGUAUGGUAGAGGAAAGUGGAAUUUCUGGUGUAGCGGUGAAAUGCGUAGAUAUCAGAAGGAACAUCAAUGGCGAAAGGCAGCUUUCUGGACCAAUACUGACGCUGAGGUACGAAAGCGUGGGUAGCAAACAGGAUUAGAUACCCUGGUAGUCCACGCCGUAAACGAUGAUAACUAGCCGUUGGGGGGAUUUACCCUUUAGUGGCGAAGCUAACGCGUUAAGUUAUCCGCCUGGGGAGUACGGCCGCAAGGUUAAAACUCAAAGGAAUUGACGGGGACCCGCACAAGCGGUGGAGCAUGUGGUUUAAUUCGAUGCAACGCGAAGAACCUUACCUGGUCUUGACAUCCUGCGAACUUUCUAGAAAUAGAUUGGUGCCUUCGGGAACGCAGUGACAGGUGCUGCAUGGCUGUCGUCAGCUCGUGUCGUGAGAUGUUGGGUUAAGUCCCGUAACGAGCGCAACCCCUAUCCUUAUUUGCCAGCACAUCAUGGUGGGAACUAUAAGGAGACUGCCGGUGAUAAACCGGAGGAAGGCGGGGACGACGUCAAGUCAUCAUGGCCCUUACGACCAGGGCUACACACGUGCUACAAUGGGAAGGACAAAGAGCUGCGAAGCCGCGAGGUGUAGCUAAUCUCAUAAACCUUUUCGUAGUCCGGAUUGGAGUCUGCAACUCGACUCCAUGAAGUCGGAAUCGCUAGUAAUCGUAGAUCAGAAUGCUACGGUGAAUACGUUCCCGGGUCUUGUACACACCGC
rnacentral:rRNA from 1 species